CAGUCGCCACGGUAAUACGUAGGGUCCGAGCGUUGUCCGGAAUUAUUGGGCGUAAAGAGCUCGUAGGCGGUCUGUCGCGUCUGCCGUGAAAUCCUCAGGCUCAACCUGAGGCGUGCGGUGGGUACGGGCAGGCUAGAGUGCGGUAGGGGAGAAUGGAACUCCUGGUGUAGCGGUGGAAUGCGCAGAUAUCAGGAAGAACACCGAUGGCGAAGGCAGUUCUCUGGGCCGUAACUGACGCUGAGGAGCGAAAGCGUGGGGAGCGAACAGGAUUAGAUACCCCAGUAGUCCCUGUCUCUUAUAC
rnacentral:rRNA from 1 species